AGCAGUGGGGAAUUUUGGACAAUGGGCGCAAGCCUGAUCCAGCAAUGCCGCGUGAGUGAAGAAGGCCUUCGGGUUGUAAAGCUCUUUUGUCAGGGAAGAAACGGUGAGGGCUAAUAUCCCUUGCUAAUGACGGUACCUGAAGAAUAAGCACCGGCUAACUACGUGCCAGCAGCCGCGGUAAUACGUAGGGUGCAAGCGUUAAUCGGAAUUACUGGGCGUAAAGCGUGCGCAGGCGGUUUUGUAAGUUUGUCGUGAAAGCCCCGGGCUCAACCUGGGAAUUGCGAUGAAGACUGCAAGGCUUGAAUCUGGCAGAGGGGGGUAGAAUUCCACGUGUAGCAGUGAAAUGCGUAGAGAUGUGGAGGAACACCGAUGGCGAAAGCAGCCCCCUGGGUCAAGAUUGACGCUCAUG
rnacentral:rRNA from 1 species